UUAUUUUGAGUGUGAAAUUGGAAAUUCUUAUAAAAUUGUUAGUUAAGAACUUUAAAUUAAAAGAAUUUGACGGUAAUUAUAUCAUUUCAGAGGAACCUGUCCUGUAAUUGAUAAUCCACGAUAAAUUUUACCUUAUUUGUUAAGUUGUAUAUCUCUGUCUGAGGAAUGUUCUUCAAGGGUUUAAAAUUUUCUUUUCCUUUAAUUAGUUUUAUGUCAGGUCAAGGUGCACUUUUAUUAAGGGUUGAGAUGGGUUACAUUAAUUUAAAAUUAUGGAUUUCUACAUUUUAUUUAUGGAUUGAAAUAGGAUUUGAAUGUAAUUCAUAUUAUAUUUUAUUUAUGAUAUUUGCUCUAUAUUAAGUACACAUCGCCCGUCGCUCUCGUUGUUUAAAAUAUUAAAAUGAGAUAAGUCGUAACAAAGUAGGCCUAUCGGAAGGUGGGCCUGGAAUUAUUCAAAUUAACCUGAGAGGAGUCAGUUUUUUACAUUAACUGAAUAUUUGUGCAAUUCAAAUUGAUUUGAUAAUUUAAAAUAUUUAAUUAAUUUUUUAUUUAUUAUUUCAUUAAUAGAAAUAACUUUAAUUUUGUAUUAGUAUUUUUAUAAAAAUUAUUAUUAAUUAUUGAUAGUUUAUUUUACUGUGAAGGUUUAUAUAUUUAAAAAUUUACAAGUAGGAAUUAUUUUUGUACCUUUUGCAUCAGGGUUUAUUAAUUUAGGUUAAUUAAUCAUUAGUUUUCCCGAAAUUAUAAGAGAUACCUCAACAUGACUUUUAUUGUUUUAAAACUAUGGAUAAUGUUGAGAUAGGGAAUAUAUUUUAUUCAAUUAUAAAUAUCUGGUUUCUUGAGAAUUGAAUUUAAUUCAGAAUUAUUUUUUUAGAUUAAAAUUUUAUUUUUAGGGAUAUAAUUUAAUAUUAUAGGGGAUAAGCUCUGUAAUAAUUUUAUAGGCAAUAUAAGUAUAUUUAAUUUUUAUAGGUUUAAUAAUGUCCAUUAAUUUAUUUUGUUAUAAUGAUAUUUAAAUUUAUUUUUAUUUUAAAUUAGCCUUAAUUUUUUAUCAGGAUUUUUAAUUUAAUAUUUUAUUUAAGGUAAUAAUGAUAGAAUUAGUAAUUUUUAUAUUUUAUAUACAGUAAUUCGGCAAAUUUUACUUUCACCUGUUUAUCAAAAACAUGUCCUAUUGUGAAUAUAAUAUUAGGUCAGGCCUGCUCAAUGAUUAUAUUAAAUAGCCGCAGUAUUUUGACUGUGCAAAGGUAGCAUAAUCAUUUGUCUCUUAAUUGGGGGCUUGUAUGAAAGGUUUAAUGAGAAAUAUACUUUCUUUAUAUAAGGGAAUGAAUUUAACAUUUAGGUUAAAAGGCUUAAAUGCUUUUAUGGGACGGGAAGACCCUAUAGAAAUUUACUGUUUUUAUCGAAAAAAUUUUAAUUAAAUUAUAAAUUAAUUUGAUAAGAGUAGUUUUGUUGGGGCGACAUGAAGAUUUUAUUAACUCUUAAAAUUAAAAUUUUAUUGAUGGAUAUUUUUAUUGAUCCUUUAUUAAGGAUUUAAAGAAUAAUUUACCUUAGGGAUAACAGCGUAAUUUUUUCGGAGAGUUCCUAUUGAUGAAAGAGA
rnacentral:rRNA from 1 species